CUACGGGUCGCUGCAGUGAGGAAUAUUGCACAAUGGAGGAAACUCUGAUGCAGCAACGCCGCGUGGAGGAUGACGCAUUUCGGUGUGUAAACUCCUUUUAUAUGUCAAGAAAAUGACGGUAGCAUAUGAAUAAGCACCGGCUAACUCCGUGCCAGCAGCCGCGGUAAUACGGAGGGUGCAAGCGUUACUCGGAAUCACUGGGCGUAAAGGACGCGUAGGCGGGAUAUCAAGUCAGGUGUGAAAUCCUACAGCCUAACUGUAGAACUGCACUUGAAACUGGUAACCUAGAGUAUGGGAGGGGGAGAUGGAAUUAGUGGGGUAGGGGUAAAUCCGUAGAUAUCACUAGGAAUAUCUAAAGCGAAGGCGAUCUCCUGGAACAUAACUGACGCUAAGGCGUGAAAGCGUGGGGAGCAAACAGGAUUAGAUACCCUCGUAGUC
rnacentral:rRNA from 1 species